rnacentral:rRNA from 1 species
UACGUAGGUGGCGAGCGUUGUCCGGAUUUACUGGGCGUAAAGAGCGCGCAGGCGGUCGAUCAAGUCGCGUGUGAAAGCCCCCGGCUCAACUGGGGAGGGUCACGCGAUACUGAUCGACUCGAAGGCAGGAGAGGGUAGUGGAAUUCCCGGUGUAGUGGUGAAAUGCGUAGAUAUCGGGAGGAACACCAGUGGCGAAGGCGACUACCUGGCCUGUUUCUUGACGCUGAGGCGCGAAAGCUAGGGGAGCAAACGGG